UACGUAGGGGGCUAGUCGUUGCUCGGAAUCAUUGGGCGUAAAGAGCGCGUAGGCGGCCAGAUAAGUCCGGUGUGAAAGUCAAAGGCUCAACCUUUGAAUGCCGCUGGAAACUGUCUGGCUAGAGUCCGGAAGAGGCGAGUGGAAUUCCUGGUGUAGCGGUGGAAUGCGCAGAUAUCAGGAGGAACACCAAUAGCGAAGGCAGCUCGCUGGGGACGAAACUGACGCUAAGGCGCGAAAGCGUGGGGAGCGAACAGG
rnacentral:rRNA from 1 species